UUAUGGCCAUAUCAUGUUGAAACACCAGUUCCCUGUAUGAUCACUGAAGUUAAGCAAUCGAGCCUGGUUAGUACCUAGAUAGGUGACCACGUGGGAAUACCAGUUGCUGUAAG